rnacentral:rRNA from 1 species
GCUAGCUACAGGCUUAACACAUGCAAGUCGAGGGGCAUCAGGAAGAAAGCUUGCUUUCUUUGCUGGCGACCGGCGCACGGGUGAGUAACACGUAUCCAACCUGCCCUUUACUCGGGGAUAGCCUUUCGAAAGAAAGAUUAAUACCCGAUGGCAUAAUGAUUCCGCAUGGUUUCAUUAUUAAAGGAUUCCGGUAAAGGAUGGGGAUGCGUUCCAUUAGGUUGUUGGUGAGGUAACGGCUCACCAAGCCUUCGAUGGAUAGGGGUUCUGAGAGGAAGGUCCCCCACAUUGGAACUGAGACACGGUCCAAACUCCUACGGGAGGCAGCAGUGAGGAAUAUUGGUCAAUGGGCGCUAGCCUGAACCAGCCAAGUAGCGUGAAGGAUGAAGGCUCUAUGGGUCGUAAACUUCUUUUAUAUAAGAAUAAAGUGCAGUAUGUAUACUGUUUUGUAUGUAUUAUAUGAAUAAGGAUCGGCUAACUCCGUGCCAGCAGCCGCGGUAAUACGGAGGAUCCGAGCGUUAUCCGGAUUUAUUGGGUUUAAAGGGAGCGUAGGUGGACUGGUAAGUCAGUUGUGAAAGUUUGCGGCUCAACCGUAAAAUUGCAGUUGAUACUGUCAGUCUUGAGUACAGUAGAGGUGGGCGGAAUUCGUGGUGUAGCGGUGAAAUGCUUAGAUAUCACGAAGAACUCCGAUUGCGAAGGCAGCUCACUGGACUGCAACUGACACUGAUGCUCGAAAGUGUGGGUAUCAAACAGGAUUAGAUACCCUGGUAGUCCACACAGUAAACGAUGAAUACUCGCUGUUUGCGAUAUACAGUAAGCGGCCAAGCGAAAGCAUUAAGUAUUCCACCUGGGGAGUACGCCGGCAACGGUGAAACUCAAAGGAAUUGACGGGGGCCCGCACAAGCGGAGGAACAUGUGGUUUAAUUCGAUGAUACGCGAGGAACCUUACCCGGGCUUAAAUUGCAGUGGAAUGAUGUGGAAACAUGUCAGUGAGCAAUCACCGCUGUGAAGGUGCUGCAUGGUUGUCGUCAGCUCGUGCCGUGAGGUGUCGGCUUAAGUGCCAUAACGAGCGCAACCCUUAUCUUUAGUUACUAACAGGUUAUGCUGAGGACUCUAGAGAGACUGCCGUCGUAAGAUGUGAGGAAGGUGGGGAUGACGUCAAAUCAGCACGGCCCUUACGUCCGGGGCUACACACGUGUUACAAUGGGGGGUACAGAAGGCAGCUAGCGGGUGACCGUAUGCUAAUCCCAAAAGCCUCUCUCAGUUCGGAUCGAAGUCUGCAACCCGACUUCGUGAAGCUGGAUUCGCUAGUAAUCGCGCAUCAGCCACGGCGCGGUGAAUACGUUCCCGGGCCUUGUACACACCGCCCGUCAAGCCAUGGGAGCCGGGGGUACCUGAAGUACGUAACCGCAAGGAUCGUCCUAGGGUAAAACUGGUGACUGG